AGCAUGAGAAACAGCUGCGUUGACACACGCAGAUCUGAACUGCAACUGAAGGAAGUUCUAGUCCAACCUGGUGUUUCCCAAACUGUGGUCAGUAGGACAUAAACCCCUUGGAUGUGCUCUGCUUCUCCUCCCCUGAAAAGAGUAGAAAUUUAAAGGGUCUUCUAUGGUCAACUAAGUUUGGGAAACGUGGCAUACCAUAGGUUCCUCCUAAAGAAUUAUGUGUGCAUAAGCUUUACAAAGGCCUUGGGAAGACGUACAGUUAUGAAUACUCUUAAAAGUUGGUUUCAUCUGGUGUUGAGCAAACUAAUUCUUUAUGAGCCAGGUCUGGCAAUUAUGUACUGUUUUAUGAGCUAACCCUGAUCUGUUGAUGGUUGAUUGGAGGAAAUUUUCAAACAAAGGGGCUUCCAUUACAGCAGUGGUUCUCAAAGUGUGGUCCCUAGACCAGUAGCAGCGGCAUCUGGGAACUUGCUAGAAAUGCAAAAGUUCAGGCCCCCCACACCUACUUAUUUAGAGAUUGGAGACAGGGGUGCAGCAAUCUGCAUUUUAACAAACCCUCCACACCAUAAAAUGUGAGUGCCACUACACUAGAGAAACUGCUGGUUCUUGGGAAUUCCUCUUACUCAUUCAAAGAGGAGAGUUUAUCUGCGAGGUGAGUCAGGAGAAGGAGCUUUAUGUGAGCAGCUCAACCCCUUUUCAGAUCUGCUGUCUGCAAUGAAGGCGUUCUGGCCUGCUUUAUUGGUAGUCUGUAAGCUCCGUGAGCCAGAAUCUCCUGUGGGGAAGGCCCGCAGUUUUCCAGCACUGCCUGUGACUAGAUGGGAAACUGUCUAAUCCAGAGACAAAGUGUAAGCAGGCCUUUUGCCCACAAAUCAAAAGCCCGACCUUCCUAUAAGCUUAUCUUUAUUAGAAGAUAGCAUUUUGAGCACUGUUUGCAUGUCUCCUGUGUCUUAUUUCUUAAUUGGUUCUGAACUUGUGUGGGGAAGAAGGUGAUUUUUACAGGGCUGCCAUGUUGCAUAGCACAGAAAUCAGUGUACAGCUCUUGAAGUUGUACAUUGCAGCAGUCCCCGUAUUCAUUAGCUCCAUAGAACCCCAAGUUUGUUGCUAUUUAGAGUGCUAUGUUGAGAAAGUUUCUGGGACUGGGUGUGGGUUCAGUGGGAAGGAGUACUGAGAUCAGUUAAUGAAGUCUGGGCAGGCAUGGGAGGAGAAGUGGAGGCAUGUGAGUCAAAUGCCUGACAUUCCAGGGUAAGUUGUCAUCAGAACAAACAGUUCCACACCUAAGUAAAGAGUUUGGAAACACUGCACUGUGUCACUCUUUCCCCUCUCCAUUAAGCAGCUGUCUAAGCCAUGACUGGUUCUUCUAAAUGGACUAAUCUAUCAGGAGGGAGUACCCUGAGCCAAGGACCAGAUAUAGGUUAGGAGCAGGUGACAGCUGCCGCCUCAGACAGCUGUAAGAGCAAAGCUAUGGUGGUGAAUCCCCACUGCAAGCCAUUCUAAGAGAAUUCAUCUUCUUUUCUUCCCUGGAUGGAUUGGGGGCCUCAUCCAGACACAGGUGCUCCCUGAGAAGUGUGGAAAUCUGGCUGGUCCAUCACAUCACCAUCAUCUUCAUCAUCAACAAAGCUACCACCUAUUUGAAAGUUCUUCAUACACCAAGAACUGUUUUAAACACUCUACAUGAAGCAACUUACUCAUUCUUUACAACCGUAUGAGAAGAGACCAUUAUAAUCUCCAUGUAGCAGAUGAAGAAACUGAGACACAGAUGGGUUAAGCGACUUGCCCAAAUUCACAUAAGUAGUAAGAUGUGGAGCCAGGAUUCAAAAUGAGGAAAUCUGAUUCCAGAGCCUGUGCGCCCAACCUCUUUCUCUAUCACCACUCUAGCAUAAAUGAUAAUCUGGAUAGCACAUAGCUAUUUCUCCUGAUACCACUUUCCUCUCUAGCUACUUCUCUCCUUCCUUUUUACAGCAGAAUUUCUCAGAUUCAUCAAACAAUAUGACUAUAUUUGGUAUCUCCAAUUCCUCUCCUCCCAUCCCUUCUUGAAUCCCCUCAAUCAGGCAUUUACACCACCACUCCACUGAAAUUGUUCCAGCAAAUUAGCCAAUGGCCUUCAUGUUCAUAAAUCCAAUGGAAAUUCUAAAUUCUCAACUUCCUUGAUAAAUCAGUAGCAAAUAAGUUGAUCAUUCCUAACUCCUUGAAGAACUCUCUUCAUUGGCUGUUAGGCUCCAGCCCUGUUCAAGCCUUCAGAUGACUACAGCCCAGUUGACAUUUUGAUUACAACUUCAUGAAAGACUCCAACCCAGAACCACCCUGCUAAGCUGCUCAUGAACUCAUGACACAUAGAAAUUGUGAAAUAACAAAUGUUUGUUGUUUUACACCACUAAAUUCUGAGAAAAAGAUAACUAAUACACCUGGCUACCCUAUUUAACAAUGCAACCUCUCUUCCCAACAUUCCCUUUUCCUGGUGCAUUUACUUCUGCUGUACUUAUUACCAUCUAAGAUACUUAUUUCACUUAUUUAUCUUAAUUACUGACUCCUCUUCUGUCUCCACUUUAAUGUAAGCUCUAUGAAGAUAGAAA